rnacentral:rRNA from 1 species
UACAUAGGGUGCGAGCGUUGUCCGGAAUUAUUGGGCGUAAAGAGCUCGUAGGCGGUCUGUCGCGUCGAUCGUGAAAACUUGGGGCUUAACCCUGAGCUUGCGGUCGAUACGGGCAUGACUGGAGUUCGGCAGGGGAGACUGGAAUUCCUGGUGUAGCGGUGAAAUGCGCAGAUAUCAGGAGGAACACCGGUGGCGAAGGCGGGUCUCUGGGCCGAUACUGACGCUGAGGAGCGAAAGCGUGGGGAGCAAACAGG